CUCUGCCUAGUACCAUAAGAACUAUUAGCUCAUUUUGUCUAUUUAAAAAUACACUUUUACCCUUCCUUAUAAAACCAUGUACCUGUUUCUAGUAUUAGAGUCUUCAAGCUCCUUUAUCUAGCUUGCUUUGUGUGUGAUCAUUUGUGCUGUAACAUAUAACUAUUGUAUAUGGAUGG